rnacentral:rRNA from 1 species
UGCCUUUCCCGUCUAUAUACCGCCGUCGUCAGCUCACCCUGUGAAGGCAUCACAGUAAGCAUAAUUAGAAUAUCUUAAAACGUCAGGUCGAGGUGUAGCAUAUGAAGGGGGAAGAAAUAGGCUACAUUUCCUGCCUCCAGGACACACGGAUUGUAUGUUGAAACACACACUAUGAAGGCGGAUUUAGACGUAAACAGAAAUUAGAGAGUUCUGUUGAAGCCGGCCCUUAAGCGCGUACACACCGCCCGUCACUCCCCUCUAACUAAUAUUAACACCUUUAACUAAGACACUAUCUAAAAACAGAGGAGACAAGUCGUAACAUGGUAAGUGUACCGGAAGGUGCACUUGGAAAAACAU